AUUGAACGCUGGCGGCAUGCUUUACACAUGCAAGUCGAACGGUAACAGGCCGCAAGGUGCUGACGAGUGGCGGACGGGUGAGUAAUGCAUCGGAACGUGCCCAGGCGUGGGGGGUACCGCAGCGAAAGCUGCGCUAAUACCGCAUACGCUCUUUGGCUGAUAGCGGGGGACCGUAGGGCCUGGCGCGAUUGGAGUGGCCGAUGUCAGAUUAGGUAGUUGGUGGGGUAAAGGCUCACCAAGCCAACGAUCUGUAGCUGGUCUGAGAGGACGACCAGCCACACUGGGACUGAGACACGGCCCAGACUCCUACGGGAGGCAGCAGUGGGGAAUUUUGGACAAUGGGCGCAAGCCUGAUCCAGCAAUGCCGCGUGCAGGAAGAAGGCCUUCGGGUUGUAAACUGCUUUUGUACGGAACGAAACGGUCCUGGUUAAUACCCGGGGCUAAUGACGGUACCGUAAGAAUAAGCACCGGCUAACUACGUGCCAGCAGCCGCCGCAGUAA
rnacentral:rRNA from 1 species